GGUCUACCACCCAUUGCCAUAGCCAAAUUCAUUGUCAUACCAGGAAAUGAGCUUGACAAAGUGGUGAUUGAAGGCAAUGCCAGCCCAGCAUUGGAAGAGUGGGUGUCACUGUUAAAGUUGCAGGAGACAACCUGGUCCUCAGUGUAGCCCCAGAUGCCCUUGAGGGGUCCUCUGAUCCCUGCUUCCCCACCUUCUUGAUGUCAUUGUGUUUG
rnacentral:lncRNA from 1 species